GAUCAUGAUAAAUCCCAAGCGUGAACAACAACUAUUUAAGCCAUUACAACUUCGAUGUGAGAAAAACCAUCGCUCGGCUUCAGCGAAAGAUUUACUUACUGUUGGCUAUUUCUUAGUUUUCCAAGAGAUGAGGGAGUUCACCUAGCUGGAUAAGGUAGCAUGUAACAGAGGGACGAGUUAGAGGGCAAAAGAGAUGGCUCUUAACGAUGUCGCAUCUCUCACCGGCUUAACCACAAUAAACCUUUCAAGACACCUAGAGAAUUUAAGUAAAAAAUUGUUCACUAUUGGAAACAGUAUACACAAUACUCCGGUGAAACGAGUAGACAUGGUUUUGGGAGAUACACGUGUAAGUUUUCAUAUUAUAGCGUAUUAUAUUUACAAAUAUUAAAACGCUAGUAGAUUGUCAACUAUCUGAAGUAUAGUAGAAUACAUGGUCACACAUGUCAAGUAAACUAAAAGAUAUUUAGCUACCUCACGUAUAUGGAUUGCAUGACCACAUAUACGAAGUAUAGGGGUGUCAAAAUGGGUCAAAAUUCAUGGGUCAACUCAACUCAACUCAACCCAUGAACGUAAUGAGUUGAAAAUAUUGACUCAAAUGAGUUGAUGGGUCAAAUUAGUUAUUGGGUCAAUUGGUUUGAUGAAUAAAAUAAAUUGGGUUGUAAUGGUUAAUGGUUUCAAUGGUUUACCCAAUUAACCAUU
rnacentral:sRNA from 1 species